UCUGGUAUUGAUUGGUGCUUGCAUCAUGAUUUACAUUUGAGUGAGUGGCGAACUGGUGAGUAACACGUGGGAAACCUGCCCAGAAGCGGGGGAUAACACCUGGAAACAGAUGCUAAUACCGCAUAACAACUUGGACCGCAUGGUCCGAGCUUGAAAGAUGGCUUCGGCUAUCACUUUUGGAUGGUCCCGCGGCGUAUUAGCUAGAUGGUGGGGUAACGGCUCACCAUGGCAAUGAUACGUAGCCGACCUGAGAGGGUAAUCGGCCACAUUGGGACUGAGACACGGCCCAAACUCCUACGGGAGGCAGCAGUAGGGAAUCUUCCACAAUGGACGAAAGUCUGAUGGAGCAACGCCGCGUGAGUGAAGAAGGGUUUCGGCUCGUAAAACUCUGUUGUUAAAGAAGAACAUAUCUGAGAGUAACUGUUCAGGUAUUGACGGUAUUUAACCAGAAAGCCACGGCUAACUACGUGCCAGCAGCCGCGGUAAUACGUAGGUGGCAAGCGUUGUCCGGAUUUAUUGGGCGUAAAGCGAGCGCAGGCGGUUUUUUAAGUCUGAUGUGAAAGCCUUCGGCUCAACCGAAGAAGUGCAUCGGAAACUGGGAAACUUGAGUGCAGAAGAGGACAGUGGAACUCCAUGUGUAGCGGUGAAAUGCGUAGAUAUAUGGAAGAACACCAGUGGCGAAGGCGGCUGUCUGGUCUGUAACUGACGCUGAGGCUCGAAAGUAUGGGUAGCAAACAGGAUUAGAUACCCUGGUAGUCCAUACCGUAAACGAUGAAUGCUAAGUGUUGGAGGGUUUCCGCCCUUCAGUGCUGCAGCUAACGCAUUAAGCAUUCCGCCUGGGGAGUACGGCCGCAAGGCUGAAACUCAAAGGAAUUGACGGGGGCCCGCACAAGCGGUGGAGCAUGUGGUUUAAUUCGAAGCUACGCGAAGAACCUUACCAGGUCUUGACAUACUAUGCAAAUCUAAGAGAUUAGACGUUCCCUUCGGGGACAUGGAUACAGGUGGUGCAUGGUUGUCGUCAGCUCGUGUCGUGAGAUGUUGGGUUAAGUCCCGCAACGAGCGCAACCCUUAUUAUCAGUUGCCAGCAUUAAGUUGGGCACUCUGGUGAGACUGCCGGUGACAAACCGGAGGAAGGUGGGGAUGACGUCAAAUCAUCAUGCCCCUUAUGACCUGGGCUACACACGUGCUACAAUGGAUGGUACAACGAGUUGCGAACUCGCGAGAGUAAGCUAAUCUCUUAAAGCCAUUCUCAGUUCGGAUUGUAGGCUGCAACUCGCCUACAUGAAGUCGGAAUCGCUAGUAAUCGCGGAUCAGCAUGCCGCGGUGAAUACGUUCCCGGGCCUUGUACACACCGCCCGUCACACCAUGAGAGUUUGUAACACCCAAAGUCGGUGGGGUAAC
rnacentral:rRNA from 2 species